rnacentral:rRNA from 1 species
AUGAGCGGGUCCGUGGACGCCGUGAGAGCCAUCGCCUCGCGCGGCGACGCGUCGGCCGCCGGACCGAGCUCGCAGAAUGCCUUGCACGCCGCCGUUCUCCAGAGUUCAGAAAUGGUUGACUUGCUCUUGCAGUGGAGGCCAGCACUCGCCAGCAACCUUGACACAAACAAGAGCAGCCCACUGCAUUUCGCCGCAUCCGACGGCGACUGCUCGAUCAUCGAAGCGCUCUUAACACAUUCACCGCCCAGCACCGCAUAUCUGCAGGACAGCGACGGCGUCUCAGCUCUGCAUGCCGCGGCAAGGAUGGGCCAUGUAGCCGCCGUCCGCCUGCUGCUGGAACUAUACCCAUCUUGCGCCGACAUUCGCGAUAACCGGGGCAGAAGCUUUGUACAUGUUGCAGCCAUGAAGGGCCACUCUUCGGUCAUGUCCUAUGUUAUCGAAAACAGGAUGCUGGAACAUCUUCUGAACAUGCAAGACAAGGAAGGGAACACGCCGCUGCAUUUGGCGGUGGCGGCAGGGGAGCACAAGGUCAUCUCCAAGCUGUUAGCGUGUAAGAAGGUGCAUACCCACAUGAUGAACAAUGCUGGCCGGACACCAUCUGAUCUCAUAGAGGAUUCAACUGGUUUCUACUCAAUGAUAAAGCUAGUGGUGAAACUGUAUAUUUCUGGAGCACGGUUCAGGCCAGAGAGGCAAGACCAUAUAGAGAAAUGGAAGGGUCAGGAUAUCAUGAAAUGGUGA